CUGUGACAUACCUAUACGUUGCCUCGGCGGAUCAGCCCGCGAUGCUCGCGAUAGUCGCGUAGUCCCGAGGACCCCUAAACUCUGUUUUUAGUGGAACUUCUGAGUAAAACAAACAAAUAUGCGCGCUGAGAUGCUCCGUGAUCUCUUGGUUCUGGCAUCGAUGAAGAACGCAGCAAAAUGCGAUAAGUAAUGUGAAUUGCAGAAUUCAGUGAAUAUGCUCGCUGAUAGUCGUCGGUAGCGCCCGCCAGUAUUCUGGCGGGCAUGCCUGUUCGAGCGUCAUUUCAACCCUCAAGCUCAGCUUGGUGUUGGGACUCGCGGUAAAUGCGCGCUGUAGAUGCCGCUGGCGGUCACGUCGAGCUUCCAAUGCUCCGUGAUGAUACACCUCGUUACUGGUAAUCGUCGCGGCCACGCCGUAAAACCCCAACUUCUGAAUGUUGACCUCGGAUCAUGCGCGCUGAGGAUUCCGUAGUAGUCGCUGUAGAUGCUGCUUAUGCUCGCUGAUAGUCGCUGUAAGUCGUCGCUCGUGAU
rnacentral:rRNA from 1 species